AACAGGAUUAGAUACCCUGGUAGUCCACGCCGUAAACGAUGUCGACUUGGAGGCUGUUCCCUUGAGGAGUGGCUUCCGGAGCUAACGCGUUAAGUCGACCGCCUGGGGAGUACGGCCGCAAGGUUAAAACUCAAAUGAAUUGACGGGGGCCCGCGCAAGCGGUGGAGCAUGUGGUUUAAUUCGAUGCAACGCGAAGAACCUUACCUACUCUUGACAUCCACGGAACUUAGCAGAGAUGCUUUGGUGCCUUCGGGAACCGUGAGACAGGUGCUGCAUGGCUGUCGUCAGCUCGUGUUGUGAAAUGUUGGGUUAAGUCCCGCAACGAGCGCAACCCUUAUCCUUUGUUGCCAGCGAUUCGGUCGGGAACUCAAAGGAGACUGCCAGUGAUAAACUGGAGGAAGGUGGGGAUGACGUCAAGUCAUCAUGGCCCUUACGAGUAGGGCUACACACGUGCUACAAUGGCGCAUACAAAGAGAAGCGACCUCGCGAGAGCAAGCGGACCUCAUAAAGUGCGUCGUAGUCCGGAUUGGAGUCUGCAACUCGACUCCAUGAAGUCGGAAUCGCUAGUAAUCGUAGAUCAGAAUGCUACGGUGAAUACGUUCCCGGGCCUUGUACACACCGCCCGUCACACCAUGGGAGUGGGUUGCAAAAGAAGUAGGUAGCUUAACCUUCGGGAGGGCGCUUACCACUUUGUGAUUCAUGACUGGGGUGAAGUCGUAACAAGGUAGCC
rnacentral:rRNA from 1 species